GAUGAACGCUGGCGGCGUGCCUAAUACAUGCAAGUCGAGCGAACGGACGAGAAGCUUGCUUCUCUGAUGUUAGCGGCGGACGGGUGAGUAACACGUGGAUAACCUACCUAUAGGACUGGGAUAACUUCGGGAAACCGGAGCUAAUACCGGAUAAUAUUUUGAACCGCAUGGUUCAAAAGUGAAAGACGGUCUUGCUGUCACUUAUAGAUGGAUCCGCGCUGCAUUAGCUAGUUGGUAAGGUAACGGCUUACCAAGGCAACGAUGCAUAGCCGACCUGAGAGGGUGAUCGGCCACACUGGAACUGAGACACAGUCCAGACUCCUACGGGAGGCAGCAGUAGGGAAUCUUCCGCAAUGGGCGAAAGCCUGACGGAGCAACGCCGCGUGAGUGAUGAAGGUCUUCGGAUCGUAAAACUCUGUUAUUAGGGAAGAACAUAUGUGUAAGUAACUGUGCACAUCUUGACGGUACCUAAUCAGAAAGCCACGGCUAACUACGU
rnacentral:rRNA from 1 species